AGUAAGAUAUCUGUGUCAAAUGGUGGUUCUAUUCCAAGUUUUUUGAGAAAUCUUUAUACUGCUUUCCAGAGUGGUGGUACCAAUUUGCAGUCCCACCAGGAAU
rnacentral:pre_miRNA from 1 species